rnacentral:rRNA from 1 species
AAAUUGAAGAGUUUGAUCAUGGCUCAGAUUGAACGCUGGCGGCAGGCCUAACACAUGCAAGUCGAACGGUAACAGGAAGCAGCUUGCUGCUUUGCUGACGAGUGGCGGACGGGUGAGUAAUGUCUGGGAAACUGCCUGAUGGAGGGGGAUAACUACUGGAAACGGUGGCUAAUACCGCAUAACGUCGCAAGACCAAAGAGGGGGACCUUCGGGCCUCUUGCCAUCAGAUGUGCCCAGAUGGGAUUAGCUUGUUGGUGAGGUAACGGCUCACCAAGGCGACGAUCCCUAGCUGGUCUGAGAGGAUGACCAGCCACACUGGAACUGAGACACGGUCCAGACUCCUACGGGAGGCAGCAGUGGGGAAUAUUGCACAAUGGGCGCAAGCCUGAUGCAGCCAUGCCGCGUGUAUGAAGAAGGCCUUAGGGUUGUAAAGUACUUUCAGCGGGGAGGAAGGUGUUGCGGUUAAUAACCGCAGCAAUUGACGUUACCCGCAG